rnacentral:rRNA from 1 species
GACGAACGCUGGCGGCGUGCUUAACACAUGCAAGUCGAGCGGUAAGGCCCUUUCGGGGGUACGACGAGCGGCGAACGGGUGAGUAACACGUGGGUGACCUGCCCUCAGCUCAGGGAUAAGCCUGGGAAACCGGGUCUAAUACUGGAUAUGACUCCAUAACGCAUGUUGUGGGGUGGAAAGCCUUGUGCGGCUGAGGAUGGGCCCGCGGCCUAUCAGCUUGUUGGUGGGGUGAUGGCCUACCAAGGCGACGACGGGUAGCCGGCCUGAGAGGGCGACCGGCCACACUGGGGACUGAGACACGGCCCAGACUCCUACGGGAGGCAGCAGUGGGGAAUCUUGCGCAAUGGGCGAAAGCCUGACGCAGCGACGCCGCGUGAGGGAUGACGGCCUGGUGUAACU